rnacentral:rRNA from 1 species
UGGAAUUUGGUAAUUCUAGCGGCGGACGGGUGAGUAACGCGUGAGCAACCUGCCUUUCACAGGGGGAUAACGCAUCGAAAGGUGCACUAAUACCGCAUGAGACCACGCUCCCGACAUGAGAGAGGGGUCAAAGGAGCAAUCCGGUGAGAGAUGGGCUCGCGUCUGAUUAGCUGGUUGGUGAGGUAACGGCCCACCAAGGCGACGAUCAGUAGCCGACCUGAGAGGGUGAUCGGCCACAUUGGAACUGAGAGACGGUCCAAACUCC